UUUCCGUAGGUGAACCUGCGGAAGGAUCAUUACCGAGUGUAGGUCUCUCAGGCCCGACCUCGCACCCUGUUUCUGUGUGACCUUGUUGCUUUCGCCGGGCCCCCUCGAGGAGAGGCCGCCGCAAGCGCACCGCUUUGGGCCCGUGCCCUCCAUUAGCCCCCUUAAAUUCUUAGUAAACAUGUCGCCUGUAACUAAAAAUUUUCAAAAACACUUUCAACAACGGAUCCCUUGGUUCUGACAUCAAUGAAGAACGCAACAAAACGGAAGAACACACGUCUC
rnacentral:misc_RNA from 1 species